ensembl:lncRNA
GCGGCCUGUCAGUGGAGGGUGCAAUACAACGCAAAAAAAAUCUAACCUGUUCCAAAUAAAUAAUUGAUGGAUUGCGGCAGGAUGAUAUUUCGCAAUAUUAUGUGAACAGCGUCAUGAAACAAAACGUGUGCUCGUAUUUAAUUUUUCGUCCAUGUUAUUGAGAAAGGGCUUUUAGCCAAAUGGUAAGUCGACUCAUAUUGAGUGUGUAAAGUAAUCUAUGGCAAGUCAAAGGAAGGGAUGGAUAGGGUUAGAGCUGUACACAAGGUUCAGAUGUAAGCAUAGCAGGCUAACCAUGUUCUCACACUGAUCCUCACCUAGCAUAGCAGGCUAACCAUGUUCUCACACUGAUCCUCACCUAGCAUAGCAGGCUAACCAUGUUCUCACACUGAUCCUCACCUAGCAUAGCAGGCUAACCAUGUUCUCACACUGAUCCUCACCUAGCAUAGCAGGCUAACCAUGUUCUCACACUGAUCCUCACCUAGCAUAGCAGGCUAACCAUGGUCUCACACGGAUCCUCACCCAGCCAUACAUGAAUGUGUAAAAAUGGACAACCAGCAGCAUUCCAGUUCGCUGGGCAUUACCUCACUAGCAUAGAGGUGGUUAGAUACAGGACACUACCAUAGAGGUGGUUAGAUACAGGACACUACCAUAGAGGUGGUUAGAUACAGGACACUACCAUAGAGGUGGUUAGAUACAGGACACUACCAUAGAGGUGGUUAGAUAAGGACAAUACCAUAGAGGUGGUUAGAUAAGGACAAUACCAUAGAGGUGGUUAGAUAAGGACAAUACCAUAGAGGUGGUUAGAUAAGGACACUGCCAUAGAGGUUGUCAGAUACAGGACACUACCAUAGAGGUGGUUAGAUACAGGACACUGCCAUAGAGGUUGUCAGAUACAGGACACUACCAUAGAGGUGGUUAGAUACAGGACACUAGCAUAGAGGUGGUUAGAUACAGGACAAUACCAUAGAGGUGGUUAGAUACAGGACACUAGCAUAGAGGUGGUUAGAUACAGGACACUACCAUAGAGGUGGUUAGAUACAGGACACUAGCAUAGAGGUGGUUAGAUACAGGACACUACCAUAGAGGUGGUUAGAUACAGGACACUAGCAUAGAGGUGGUUAGAUACAGGACACUACCAUAGAGGUGGUUAGAUAAGGACACUACCAUAGAGGUGGUUAGAUACAGGACACUACCAUAGAGGUGGUUAGAUACAGGACACUACCAUAGAGGUGGUUAGAUAAGGACAUUAGUGUAGAGGUGGUUAGAUACACGACACUGUCUUUAGGGUGCUUGGAGUGCAGUAGGCCCUAACGAUAGACACUUGAACCUCAACUUUGAUGUGCAGAAGUAAUAUGAUCCACUGUAUAAGCCAACAACAACAACAACAACAACAUGCUUCUGUGUCAUUGUAUUCUUUGACUCAACUCAAGGAUAUGUAACAUAUUAUUGGAGAGGUAAACCUUCUCAUGUGAUGUACAGUUGUAUUUUAAUACACAGAAUCAGCACUACAGUCCCAGGAACAGGACGUGAACCAUCCAAAUCUCUUGUUGUGUACAUUACAGAGUGACGUUACUUAGCAUUCGGUAGUAGUUCUUUAAACAGACACCAGCUUGGUUAACUUAGUGUAAUGAACAACAGUCUAAGGUCUGUGUCCCAAAUGGCACUCUAUCCCCUGC